rnacentral:rRNA from 1 species
UUUUACUAUAAUUAUUCCUAGGUUGGAGUUCCCGAAUCUAUAAGAGCUAUCAAGUAAUUUAUGUUGGUCUUACUUAUCUAAAGAUGUAGCAUCAUCUCCAGUAAAAUUGUCUGAUAGGGGUGAAACGCCUUCACUUUUAGUGUUAGCUGGAUAGUAAUUAAAUACAUUGAGUGUAUAUAACAAAUCUGCUAAGUAAUAAGAUUUAACAGGUGAAAAUAAUGCUUUUCUAAUAGUCACCUUUAUUAUCUGAAACAUAGGGAAGUAUUAAGAAAUAAUAAUUAAUUUAGCUUUAAUAUUUUUAAAUAAUUACAUAAUAGAAUAAAUAGAUUAUAUUAUAUUAAAUAAUGUAAAAAUUAGUAAAUAUGGGAAUAGUGUAAAAGGAACUCGGCAAAUAAUCCUCUUGCCUGUUUACCAAAAACAUAGCGGCAUGAUAAAAAUAUGCGGUGUAAUCUGCCCGGUGAAUAUUUAAACGGCCGCAGUACUUUGACUGUGCUAAGGUAGCAUAAUAAUUUGGCUUUUAAUUGAGGUCUGGUAUCAAAGAAUUUACAAGGGGAUACUGUCUCUUAUACUAUAAUUAGAAAUUAAUUAAUAAGUGAAAAUGCUUAUUUUUAAAAAAAUAGACGAGAAGACCCUUAGACUUUUAAGAAAUAAACUACGAGGAAAGAGUUAAUGCUUUUUGUUGGGGCAACAUAUUUUCAUGAUAAUAAAAUAAGCUUGACUAGAUUUACCGAUAAUAUAUUAAUAUAUAAAUUACCUUAGGGAUAACAGCAUAAUAUUAAUUAAAUGUUUGUGACCUCGAUGUUGGACUAGGGGCAUCAAGCACAAGAGGUGUUUGGUGAUAGUUCUGUUCGAACAUAAUCUCCUACAUGAUCUGAGUUCAGACCGG